GUCUACGGUCAUACUACCCUGAACAAGCCCAAUCUCAUCUGAUCUAGGAAGCUAAGCAGGAUUGGGCCUGGUUAGUACUUGGAUGGCAGACCACCUAGGAAGACCAGGUGCUGUAAGUG
rnacentral:rRNA from 1 species